rnacentral:rRNA from 1 species
CCUACGGGUGGCAGCAGUGAGGAAUAUUGGUCAAUGGCCGGGAGGCUGAACCAGCCAAGUCGCGUGAGGGAAGACGGCCCUACGGGUUGUAAACCUCUUUUGUCAGGGAGCAAGGUGCAGGUCGGGACCUGCUGUGAGAGUACCUGAAGAAAAAGCAUCGGCUAACUCCGUGCCAGCAGCCGCGGUAAUACGGAGGAUGCGAGCGUUAUCCGGAUUUAUUGGGUUUAAAGGGUGCGCAGGCGGAGGCACAAGUCAGCGGUAAAAUCGCGGGGCUCAACCCCGCUCCGCCGUUGAAACUGUGUCCCUUGAGUGCGCGAAGGGUAGGCGGAAGGCGUGGUGUAGCGGUGAAAUGCAUAGAUAUCGCGCAGAACCCCGAUUGCGAAGGCAGCGUGCCGUGCCGCCACUGACGCUGAGGCACGAAAGCGCGGGGAUCGAACAGGAUUAGAUACCCGUGUAGUC